rnacentral:lncRNA from 1 species
AGUUUGCUCCUAACUGCCUGCACUUUCACCUCGCUUCUGGGCACUGCUCCCGGGCUCUGGCGGUGCUUUGGCCCCAUGUCCAGGGAGCCUGACCCGCCUGGUGGCUGUGAUUCCCUGGGACAGCCCCUGGGUGACCACUGUGAGUCUGAGCUCUUGCCUUGGGGCAGGACGAACUGGGUGCUCCUCAGACCCAGAUCCGGCUGAGGCUGGGAUAUUGGCUCGAGUGACACCUGGGCUUGGCUUCCUUCCCUGCCCUGUCCUGUCUCCCCUGUGCAGCCUCCCCUGAAGCGCGGGUCUACAAACCUCAUCCCAGGACCCGUUUCUAGGAGACAGUGAGGCUAAGACCCAGUGCCUGCCCGAUGCAUUAACAGAUGGAAUCCUCCUGAGGACCCUAGGAAGCAGGGAGAAACUCUCCACGGGUGCUGAGAUGUCUUUGACACCUCGCUGAGUAAGGUUGGCAGAGCUUCCUUCACAACAGCCGGAAACGGUUUCCAUUGAAAACCUUCCUCAGGCAGCAGGACAGAAAGCAGACUUGGGUGACACCUUUUGUUUCUCUGUGUUCACUUUCACCAUCACCUACUCUUCCGGGGACCCCCUCAUGAACUGCAGGAAAGACGUCUGGCUUUCCUGAAGCCACCAUGCUGAAAUGAACACACAAGCAGGAGAGCGACGCCCGAGGAGGACCAGCUGUUUGAGUCUGCCCAGCCCAGGUGUCAGACUGUAAAUGAAGACGGCAGCCAGAUGACACUGCCAGCCACCAGCCCCUCUGACUGCACCCUCCAAGAGAUCCAGAGCUCAAACCGCCCUGGGGAGCCACUCCCGAGAUCUUACCCCCAGAAACCAUGAGUGGCCAGUGAUGUUCCAGCAGGUGGCUGGGUCCUGCUGUGAGGACAACAUGGAGCAGAGCCCAGGCUUACCUACAAUGGACAUGCAGUGAUGCCAGGGCCUUCUGGAAGUGCCUGUUUGGCAGUUGGAGCUGGCUGGGGGCUGGGACGUAUCUGGACUGUCUGCCACAACACCAACCCACAGCCCCCUUUCGGGCUACUUGGACUUCCUCACAACAUGGCGGCCCUGGGCAGUCAGAUGCUUACACAGCAUCUCAGGGCUAUAGCACGAAGGCACCUGCAUCACCUUCUGUGACCUAGCCUUGGAGGCCACGCAGCGUCUCUUCUGCCACAUUCUAUUAGUUACGGCAGCCCAAGGCCUCUGCGGCCUCUGCAUCAGUCAGCUGGGAAAGCGGCACAGCCCCUGGGACUGUGGCUGGGCCAGCCAGCCUCCACCCAGACAGAGCCCGCAGCAGGCCGUUGAUUCACCGUUCCCCAGCAAAAGCGUCAUCCUGAGUCCCAUGGAAGAGACUGGUUAAUCUCUUACUGUGUAAUUAAUCUCUUACUGUGUACCAGGCACAUGCAUACAUCCCAUAACGCAUUCAGCCUCACACCAUCUACUUUACAAAGCACAUAGCACUACUGUCUUCAUCUGGCAGUUAGCAAACCUGUGGCCCAGAGGGGUGGACCAAUUUACUCAUAGCCACAUAGCUGUCAGGAGCUGAGAUACAAGCCCAGGCGUGGUGGAUCCAAAGCCUCUUGUCCUGGCUGGGCAUAAUGGCUCACACCUGUAAUCUCAGCACUUUGAGAGCCUGAGGCAGGAGGAUUGCUUAAGGCCUGGAAUGUAAUAUCAGCCUGGGCAACAUAGCAAGACCCUGUCUUUAUAGAAAAAAUUUUAAAAAUUGGCCAGGCAUGGUGGUGUGCCUGUGGGCCUGGCUACUUGAGAGGCCGAGGCGGGAGGACUGCUGGAGUCCAGGAGUCUGAGGCUGCAGGGAGCUGUGACUGCGCCAGUGCACUCCAGCCAGGGUGAAAGAGUGAUGCCCUAUCUCAAGAAAAAAAAAAAAAGCUCUUGUCCCAAACCCUAUAUCACCAGGUCCGUAGAAGCAGGAGUGUAUUGAAUCCAUUAGGGAGGCACUUGGCUACAAGUAACAAAAACCUUGGCUCACAGUGGCUUAAAGCAUAAGGUCAUUCAUUGUUUAUUUCGGAGGACAUUGAGAAGCAGGCAUAGCCCAGGUGGGUUCACUAGUUCCUCAGUGUCAGGAUACAGGGCUGGCAUCUCUGCAAUUCUCUUAGCCUUCUCCUCAUGGUGGCACCAUGGCUGCCACAGCUGCAGACAUCACUUCAUCCCACAAUGACAUCCAAAGGCAGGAAGGAAGGUGAGGUGGGAAGGAGGCAAAAGGGACCAAACCUCUCUUCCUGUAACCUUCUCAUUUUCUAGUGAGACCUUUUUCCCAGGAGCCGCCAGCAUACUUCCCUCACGUUUCUGGCCAGAAGUGGAUCACAGGCCUUCCCCGGAUUACUCAGGCCCAGAGGGUGCAAUGUGGUCCCCACUACAUGGUAGACAGGAUUUGAACUAAACAACAGUUCGCUGGAGUGGAAAAUAAAGGAUGCUACAUUUUCUUAUUGUGAUAAAAAAUAUAUAUCAUAAAAUUUACCAUUUUAACAAUUUGUAAGUAUACAGGUUGGUAGCAUUAAGGACAGUCACAUUGUUGUGCAACCACUACCAUCCAUUUCCAGAAUUUUUUCAUCUUCCCAAACUGAAACUCUGUCUCCAUUAAACACCAACUCUCCACCUGGCUCCUGCCAGCCCCUGGCUCCCACCAUUCUACUUUCUGUAUCUGUGGAUUUGACUAUUCUAAGGUUGGACUAGUCCAACCUGUACAUAAAUUGAAUCAUACAGUAUUUGUCCCUUUGUGGCUGGCUUAUUUCACUCAGCACAGUGUCCUCAAGGCUCAUCCAUGUUGUGGCCCGUGUCAGAAUAUCCUUCCUUUUUCAAGGCU